GUUUCUAAAAAAAACAUUUAUUUUUAUUUUAUAAAAGUUAUUAGCCCGCGAUAAUCCCGUAGUAUAUUUUUAAUUGUGUCCAUAAGUAAAUAGAGGCAUAGAGAAAAAUCGUUCAUGCUAAAAAAUGGCCCAUCCCAGGAUAUAAGGAUUUAAUAUAAUAGAUAUAAGGGCUCUCUACAGCCUUCCUUGCACCACUCUUUUGGCGACGCCGACGUCCGACGACGUUCUGCAAGUUUUAAUCCGGACGAUGCGAGGAUCCAUAAACAAGCUAUAAAAAUUGGAUAAACCGGAACUAAAACUUAAAUUAGUUAAAUAAGCUCCGGCGGUAUGUAGAAGAGUUUACGGAGAGUAUUUUAUAUUACUUUUUUGUAGGGAAUUUUAUUUAUGUACUUCUUUUAGUGUACUGUCCUUAAUAUAUAGGUAUGUAAAAAUUAAAACAAUAUAAUAAUUAAAAUGAAAAGAGUGAUUUAAA